ACAAAUGGUCAGCUGCUUAUGAUGUGAGAAGUACACAAGCAGAUAAAAUCGAUCAAUGGCCUUAUCUUAAUGACGCUUUAACCAAGUUUCAGUAUCAUGCUCAAGUACAAGAAGAAGAUGAAGAUGAAUACGCUUCCCUUUCCUUCCCUAAUCAUUACCCCUUCAAGCCUCCAAAGGUGAAGUUCAAGACCGCUUGCUUUCAUUCUAAUGUCGAUGCUUUCGGAAAUAUAUGUUUGGAUACUCUUUAGGACAAAUGGUCAGCUUCUUAUGAUGUGAGAAGUAUACAAGCAGAUAAAAUCGAUCAAUGGCCUUAUCUUAAUGACGCUUUAACCAAGUUUCAGGAUGCACAAGACCUUGGAAUAGCCAUAUCCCAGUUGAUUUCAUUUGAAGACUCAAGACCACAGAGAUUUCGUUUCAAUUACAAGGUAAGAAGCGUUGUUGAUGGUGGAUCUGGAAUGAUCUGUACCACCAUCGUGCAUCACCAUCUCAGAUUUACCCUGAAAACGUCUUUCAAUUUUGAAAGAGGUAAAUGCUUGAUUUGAGAUACGGUCUU